ACGAUGAUGCGUUCUAGACCCACGCUCCAUUCCUCUCACCUAGAACUGUCCCGGAAGUCUGACUCUGGAUUUUACCCACAUGCUCCCUUGAUCUGGUGCUUCUGGUUGAUUUGAGCUAAUAAGGAACUCUACAGGAAACUAGAACAUUAGAAGAAAAUAAGGGAAGUUUCCAUUCUUUUGAAAAGUUUGGAUUCCAAAGAGAAUGAAUAACUCAUCUUCACAUCACUCCCCAAAGAUUUGUCUUCUGCUUUGCUGACCUCAGGAUGCUGGCCAGCCAGAUGGAAGGACUGCCAAGCACAUGCAGCUUGCAUAGCCAGAAGAUCACUCUGCCUAUCUGGAAAUCAUACCUUCACUCACUGGGGAGGUUCUGGGUGCUCUUUACAUCCUAAGAAGCAAGGCCCUCCCAAAUGAUUUCAAGAGCACUCGUGGCCAAUGACUAACAAUUAUGCUAAAUCAAGGUCUGCUAAACAGUCUUGGCACUGCUACUGCCAACUCCAUAGACUCACAGCAGUGUAGAGGAACUUGACAUAAGAGGAUCCAUCUUGGAAGAAAUCAGGGGAAGUGUAUCACGAGGCUUUUAAUCCUCGAAGAAGCUGCCCCGUCAGACCUCCCCACUGGAAAGGACUUGCACAAGUAGUCGGUUCCUGAGCACUGGGCACCUUGCUCAUCUCUGCAUUUGAAUGUUCCAGGUGGGCAUACAGGUCCCCGAGGGCCAGCUCAUUCUCUGUCAGAAGAAAGAGAGUCUCCACUGCAGUUCUCCUCUCUCCUCUCUGACUGCUGAUCAAAGCAGAAGAAAAUAAAAGCGUGAGUGUGGUUUGGGUGAGUGCCUUCAUGUGACAACCAACCUGAGGGAGUUGAGCAGAUGCUCUCCUUCCCGCAGCACAGCAAGAAAGAGAUUUCUAGGAUAGGAAGAAGUGACCUCCAGGUAGAGAAGGAGCAGUGUGAGGACAGGUGCUGUUUCUUGCG